UCUUUGGUAGUAUAGUGGUUAGUAUUUCCGCCUGUCAAUUAACUUUGAGCGCGGAAGACCGGGGUUCAAUUCCCCGCCAAAGAG